CGUCGUAUCACAUGAUGGCUCGAUUCCCUCUUCUCUUCUCUAGCUUUUAAUCUUCAUUUUCAUUGUGUUUUUUCAUCUCACCUUUUGAUGCAUUAAGUGCUAUUCCAAUCGCUACACUUCUCCAUCUUCAGCUUUGUAAGAGUUCUCAACGAUUCCAACGUAAUUGUAACGGCGUGGAUUCUGAACGGUAUGAUUUCGUUUCGAUUCCCUCUUAUUAAACUAUUUCCCCACUACUACAAUAUUCUUAUUGUAUAAAUUCUGACAUCCCUAUAUAAUUUACCAUAUCACUAACGCAAUUCUCUAAUUCCAAAUCUGACCAAAAAAACAUUGCGAGGACCAUGGGAACUCCUUACGUUUCUUUUGCAGAGCUGAAACCUGGCCGCCUUCACCAACGGGUGGUGGGUUGAUUUGAAGACAAUCUUAAAGGAAUGGGAAUGAUAUGAGCGUCCUAACGAUGGGCCAGUUGUGAAAGUUAAAUUGAUUGGGAAACUUCAAGAUGAAACAGUAUUCCUGAAGAAAGGUCAUGGUGAGAAUGAUGAACUGUUUGAGUUCAAAACAGAUGAAGAGCAAGUGGUCGAUGGACUUGAUAGAGCUGUAAUGAAGAUGAAAAAGGGUGAAGUGGCAUUGGUGACAGUAGAACUUGAGUAUGCCUUUGGUUCUAAUGAGUCAAAACAGGAAUUGUUUGUGGUGCUGCCAAUCUCAACUGUGUACUUUGAGGUUGAUCUUGUGACUUAUGACAAUGCAAGGGAAUCGUGGGACAUGAACACUGAAGAAAAAAUAGAAGCUGAUUCUAAGAAGGAAGAAGGAAACUCCAAGUUUAAAGCAGGCAAAUAUGCCAUGGCGUCCAAGAGAUACGAGAAGGUAUAUAAUAAUAUGAACUGCCGUUGAUAUGUGAGGUUUACAGGAGAGCGCAAGCGUACAUGGAGUUGGCUGAUUUAGACUUGGCUGAGUUUGAUGUCAAGAAGGCCCUUGAAAUCGAUCCCAACAACAGGGAAGCUAAGUGAAGCCGGAAUAGAGAAGGUUGAAGGAGAUAUGAAAGAGUUCAACAAAAAAGAAGCCAAGUUUUAUGGAAACAUGUUUGCACAAUUAACUGAAUUUGCAGAAGGAAUCAUCAAAAGAUGGAGGCAAUGAGCACCUGAGCCCUUGAAAACGUUCCAAGCACUCUGCAUCUUCAUUUUCUUCUCUUUUGGUUUGUCGCAAUGUUUGUUUUUAGUUUUUCAAAAUGAGCGUUAGUGAGAUUUAUAAAACAGGGGACUUCUAUGACAAUAAUAACAUUGGAUUUGAGCUAGAAAUUUAUCGCAUGUGUUGCUUUU